GGUGCCAUUCCUGCAUUUCUUAUUACUUGAGAAUAUGGGCUUUGAUAACAAAAAAUUGAGAACCAGCUGGAUCAAUUCCUAUCGGUCAAAAUUUAAUAAAAAUAUGAAGUUUGAAUUAGAAUGUAAUGUCAUAUGAUUGGUUAAUUGUCAUCGUUGGAAGCUAUCUCCUUGCCAUCACCAUAAAGUUGGAUAUAAAGCGGCAAUUUUGAGGCUUAGAAGGAGUUUAGUGUGAAUGGAACGUGAGAAAUUCUUUGUGCACCACG
rnacentral:lncRNA from 1 species